rnacentral:lncRNA from 1 species
CUGAGACAUUAAUAGUGAAAAUAGUAAGUUGUUAAUUCUGCGAAAACUAAAAAACCAGGUUGUAAAUUAUCCUUAAUUAGGGUUUCUUACAGCCGUGCAUAUAUACUUGAAAGAGAUUUGCUUUGAGUUGACUUUGGGAGAAAAGUCAACAUUCAUCAACCACAUUAUAAUUGCUCAAGUUUGUACUUUGGAGAAUUUGAAAACGCAGCAUAUGGUUAGUUUCUGUCUGCCCUUCGCCUGUGUGAGUUUGAGCUUUGAACUCGUUUCCCCAAGGCGCCCACGUAUAUCACUUCCAUCGCGGAAAGAAAUCUUAGUUUAUACACACUUCACCAAGCAAAUUAACCACCAGCUUCCAGUGAGAGUUUUUUACUCUCAAACAGGAGAGAAGCUUAUGGGACAAGGUUCCUUUAUCUGCCACUUUCGUCGGCUUUUCCUGUUCCGUCCGGACAGGGGCUCCUCUUUAUCGCUC